rnacentral:rRNA from 1 species
AUUGAACGCUGGCGGCAGGCCUAACACAUGCAAGUCGAACGAGUGGCGGACGGGUGAGUAAUGUCUGGGAAACUGCCCGAUGGAGGGGGAUAACUACUGGAAACGGUAGCUAAUACCGCAUACCCUCGGAUGUGCCCAGAUGGGAUUAGCUAGUAGGUGGGGUAAUGGCUCACCUGGGCGACGAUCCCUAGCGGGUCUGAGAGGAUGACUAGAAACACGGGAACUGAGAACCGGUCCAGACUCCUACGGGAGGCAGCAGUGGGGAAUAGUGCAAAAGGGGCGAAAGCCUGAUGCAGCAAUGCCGCGGGUGUGAAGAAGGCCUUCGGGUUGUAAAGUAGUUUAAGCGAGGAGGCGUUACUCGCAGAGGAAGCACCGGCUAACUCCGUGCCAGCAGCCGCGGUAAUAC